GACCCAGUGGGCUCCUUAGUGACAUAGGGGAAUGUCUGAUGGUGAGCACGGAUGGGUUUAUUCCCCUUACAGUGACUGUGGUGACAACCAGCUCCUGCUUGGGGAGGAAGCACAUGGGGAGCCAGGUGCUGAAAACAGUCCAGCUGAAAUGGGACUGAGGAUCCAUCUGAGGCACAAGGAGCAAGUUCUGGCUCUGGUGUAACCACCAGCAUGGAUCCCUCCGUCUCUGGUCACCAGUUCCUGGUGCUGUGCCCCUGGUAUAGCCUGGGGCAUGGCAGUGAAGUGACAUGGACAGACCACUAAUCUCUGCAGCUAUUAAAUUUUUAAUUUAGCUGUCUAAAUUCAUGGACUUUGAAGAAGGGGGGAUCAUGGGGCUGGGUCAUGCAGGAGGAAAUGAGCUGGUGGUUGGAAAGAGGAAGCUGGUGACAGAGGAGUCAGAUGAGGAACAUGGUUCCCUACUAACAGGGUCAUGUGAAUGGCUGCUUGGUGACAGGACAGAGUGAUCGAUGUACAAGAAUAAUAGGUCACUGGGGAGUCAGCAUGAAAGCUGAUGCCUCACGAAAUGUAUAGGAUACAGUAGAAAAGAAAGUUAAAAAGACAUCAAGAAAAGACAGAGCACUUCUUGCACACAAGCCUGGCUUGCAGUUCUAGUUAGCUUGCUUCUCUUGGCUUAUUUUGCACACUCCAGCUUGUGGAUAUGUGAAUUGGGCACUUGAUGGUGAUUGUGGGUCCCUCUGAGCUGGCACGGGGCUGAGCCCCAGCCCUCAGAGAUGAGCCCAUCCCUGGGCUCUCCUCAGCCCGGCUGCCUUCUCUGGAGCAGGGCAGUCUGGGAUCAGCAGCAUUUCGUGGCAUUUACUGGAGGGCUCAGAUUACCCCAGUGAAAAUAAUCGGUUAUGCAAAGUUACGCUGUUUAGAUUGAGUUUCUUCUGUGUGGCCAGCGAGGUGUGAAAGUCAAUCUAUUCUGCAAACCCCGAGGGCACUUUCUCUGCGCUGGCUCUGUAGGAUCCCUCUGGGGUUCAGCUGUCGUAAAAGAAACGCCAGCCCCGAGUUCCGUUUGAAGGAGUGGAGGUGGUUGGGGCCGAGCUGUGGGGAUGGGACGAGGCAUGGGGCUGUGGGGCCUGCAGGAGGUGGGAUGGAGAUGUGCAGCCUGGCUGUCCGCAGUGCUCUGGGUGCUCUGCUUCACAGACCCAUCAUUGCGUCCCGUGCGCUAAGCGACGGCGUGCUUAGGAAGUUCUCAUCACUAGGAGGAGGCCUUCCUGCAGCAGGAAUGUUUUGUGAUGUCCGACUCUGCAUCAUCACAUUCCUUGUCUGCCCAGCACUCCACGUGUUUUGGGUUGCAAUGUGAGAACAGAAGCAGGAAAAUCCCCCUGGACGGCCCCUCCUCAUGCAUCCCAACUGCGGGCAGUGCUGCCCAGAUUUGGGCUGGUGGGUGACGGGGGUGACGUCAUGGAGCACACUGUAAGCACAAGGGACGGACCGAGGGCUGCUGCCUUGCCCAGUUGCAAAGACUCAUCCAUGCGUACAGAGCCGGUUGCUUAGCAGAGGAGAGAUGGCUGUGUCAGUAGAGGACGUGAAAUAAAAAGGCCAAACCUCCAG